CUGCUUUCUUCAGCAGCACAUAUACUAAAAUUGGAACAAUACAGAGAUUAGUAUGGCCCCAUGCAAGGAUUACUUUAAUUUAAAAAAAUCCCAUUUAAAAUUGU